rnacentral:lncRNA from 1 species
CUUGUUGGGAAGUGUUUUCACUGAGCUGAGCCGCUUCCCUGUCCUGCGCCUCAGAGGCAGCCGUGGACACAGGGGGAAAUGGGACGCCUCUCCCCACCACCCAGUUGAGAGUUAGCGUCCUCCUUGCUCAGACAAGGAAACCUCCUGCCAGACCACACAGGCCCCCGUCUUGCCACCCCCGGGGCCCAAGGCAGGACUUUUCAGCUGUUGGAAAGACUUUGUCUCUUCUCCCUGUGCCGGAGGAGCCGGCAGCCCUGGGGGAGUCGGAGCUGUGUCCACUGGGAGGCGUGCUGGCCUGAGCUGCUAAGGAGGAAAAUAAGGCUGCAGCUGCCAUUUGCUCAGGUGGCUGGACUUACCUGAUUCAGAGACUCGCCCUGUGUUUUCCAGGACAUUCUACCUGUCCACAGCUUUUGCCAUCGACAUACUUUCGGCUGAGUGGCAUGGCGGUGAUAUCAAUCAAGGGAUUUUCCUUUGCCGUUUGUGUUCCUCCACUGGUUUCUUGGUAGCCAGUGUCUUCAGCUGUCCUACUGUGCUCCUUACAGCAUGAUGACCUUGGCUGUGUCCUUCAACUUUCUAGGUGAGUUUUACAGGUUGUG